GCUCCACAGACACAGGCCCCUUCUCCACCUCUCCAUCACCGCUGCUCUCCCUCUGCCCACAGUCAGUCCUCCAACCCCCAGUGUCUGCAUUUUUCUUGGACUCGUCUCUCUUACUAAUAUAGCUGCCACCACCCACUCUAGACAUCACGGUGAGACUGCGAUGGCCAUAAGAUGGAUCUAAUGAUCGGAGGACCAGGAAGUGCUCGACUCUUUCCCAGCCUCCCAGCACCUCACAGAAAAGAUCUCAGAGAUGGUAGAAGUGGUCUGUAUACAUGUGUAUGUGUUUUUGAUCACCUUUCCACGCAGAAAGCAUCGACUUCCCCUGAGUUAUUUUGAGCCGAUGGAUGUGUGUGGUGCUUGCCCAGGCCUAAGGUUCUCAGGACCAUCACUGAGAAGAACUUAUGAAGACCAGAAAAGCUCUCUGUAGACCUUGGUCCUCGGAAAGGGAACAGGUGCCAGGCCUGUUGAACGUGGAGCCCAUGUCAAAGGAACUGCAACAGGAAGAGCUGUGCCACCAUCGUUCUAAUAGCUGCUACUUGCUUUUCAAAACUUUCAAUCUAUUAUCCUACUACUUGUGUAGCAAGGCCAAUAAGAAGAGUUGCUUUUACGUUGAGCCUAACAAAUGCAGAGUUUCCCGAAGUCCGGGCCACGGAACACCAGUCACGUGGCAUCCUCUAGAAAAAGCAUGCUGAGUGCUCAGGAGAGUUUGGAGAACACUCUACCCACCUCGAAUGCAUUUAGGAAAGUCUCAGAAUCAGGCAAGAAAGAAACAUAUUCAUUUUUUAAAUCCCAAUAUUCCCCAAACUGGUUAGACCAUUCACAAUACCAAUGAACAUCUCACAGAACUUGAGAUUCAUGGAAAUGUCACCCAAGGAGCCCCAACGGCU